GGCGGCAGGCCUAACACAUGCAAGUCGAGCGCCGUAGCAAUACGGAGCGGCAGACGGGUGAGUAACGCGUGGGAACGUGCCCUUCGGUUCGGAAUAACUCAGGGAAACUUGAGCUAAUACCGGAUACGUCCGAAAGGAGAAAGAUUUAUCGCCGAAGGAUCGGCCCGCGUAAGAUUAGCUAGUUGGUGAGGUAACGGCUCACCAAGGCUCUGAUCUUUAGCUGGUCUGAGAGGACGAUCAGCCACACUGGGACUGAGACACGGCCCAGACUCCUACGGGAGGCAGCAGUGGGGAAUAUUGGACAAUGGGCGCAAGCCUGAUCCAGCCAUGCCGCGUGAGUGAUGAAGGCCUUAGGGUUGUAAAGCUCUUUUGGCAGGGACGAUAAUGACUGUACCUGCAGAAUAAGCCCCGGCCAACUUCGUGCCAGCAGCCGCGGUAAUACNAAGGGGCUAGCGUUGCUCGGAAUCACUGGGCGUAAAGCGCAC
rnacentral:rRNA from 1 species